rnacentral:rRNA from 1 species
UACCAGCUCUCCGAGUGGUGUGGAUGUUUAUUGGGCCUAAAGCAUCCGUAGCUGGCUGGGCAAGUCCCCUGUUAAAUCCACCGAUUUAAUCGUUGGUGUGCGGGGGAUACUGUUCGGCUAGGGGACGGGAGAGGCCGACGGUUAUUUUCGGGGGUAGGGGUGAAAUCCUAUAAUCCCGGGAAGACCACCAGUGGCGAAGGCUGUCGGCUAGAACGCGCCCGACGGUGAGGGAUGAAAGCUGGGGGAGCGAACCGGAUUAGAUACCCGGGUAGUCCCAGCUGUAAACGAUGCAGGCUAGGUGUUUGGGCGGCCACGUGCCGCUCUAGUGCCGCAGAGAAGUCGUUAAGCCUGCCGCCUGGGGAGUACGGCCGCAAGGCUGAAACUUAAAGGAAUUGGCGGGGGAGCACCAAAAGGGGUGAAGCUUGCGGUUU